rnacentral:rRNA from 1 species
UACGUAGGGUGCAAGCGUUAAUCGGAAUUACUGGGCGUAAAGCGUGCGCAGGCGGUUGUGCAAGACAGAUGUGAAAUCCCCGGGCUCAACCUGGCAAUUGCAUUUGUGACUGCACGGCUAGAGUGUGUCAGAGGGGGGUAGAAUUCCACGUGUAGCAGUGAAAUGCGUAGAGAUGUGGAGGAAUACCGAUGGCGAAGGCAGCCCCCUGGGAUAACACUGACGCUCAUGCACGAAAGCGUGGGGAGCAAACAGG